AGCGAACGCUGGCGGCAGGCCUAACACAUGCAAGUCGAACGAAGUCUUCGGACUUAGUGGCGGACGGGUGAGUAACACGUGGGAACGUGCCUUUAGGUUCGGAAUAACUCAGGGAAACUUGUGCUAAUACCGAAUGUGCCCUUCGGGGGAAAGAUUUAUCGCCUUUAGAGCGGCCCGCGUCUGAUUAGCUAGUUGGUGAGGUAAAGGCUCACCAAGGCUACGAUCAGUAGCUGGUCUGAGAGGAUGACCAGCCACAUUGGGACUGAGACACGGCCCAAACUCCUACGGGAGGCAGCAGUGGGGAAUCUUGCGCAAUGGGCGAAAGCCUGACGCAGCCAUGCCGCGUGGAUGAUGAAGGUCUUAGGACUGUAAAAUCCUUUCACCGGUGAAGAUAAUGGCUGUAGCCGGAGAAGAAGCCCCGGCUAACUUCGUGCCAGCAGCCGCAGUAACAC
rnacentral:rRNA from 1 species